CCUACGGGCGGCUGCAGUGGGGAAUAUUGCACAAUGGGCGCAAGCCUGAUGCAGCCAUGCCGCGUGUGUGAAGAAGGCCUUCGGGUUGUAAAGCACUUUCAGCGGGGAGGAAGGCGGUGAGGUUAAUAACCUCAUCGAUUGACGUUACCCGCAGAAGAAGCACCGGCUAACUCCGUGCCAGCAGCCGCGGUAAUACGGAGGGUGCAAGCGUUAAUCGGAAUUACUGGGCGUGAAGCGCACGCAGGCGGUCUGUCAAGUCGGAUGUGAAAUCCCCGGGCUCAACCUGGGAACUGCAUUCGAAACUGGCAGGCUAGAGUCUUGUAGAGGGGGGUAGAAUUCCAGGUGUAGCGGUGAAAUGCGUAGAGAUCUGGAGGAAUACCGGUGGCGAAGGCGGCCCCCUGGACAAAGACUGACGCUCAGGUGCGAAAGCGUGGGGAGCAAACAGGAUUAGAUACCCCAGUAGUC
rnacentral:rRNA from 1 species